CCUACGGGAGGCAGCAGUGGGGAAUAUUGCACAAUGGGCGAAAGCCUGAUGCAGCGACGCCGCGUGAGCGAAGAAGUAUUUCGGUAUGUAAAGCUCUAUCAGCAGGGAAGAAAAUGACGGUACCUGACUAAGAAGCCCCGGCUAACUACGUGCCAGCAGCCGCGGUAAUACGUAGGGGGCAAGCGUUAUCCGGAUUUACUGGGUGUAAAGGGAGCGUAGGCGGCAAGACAAGUCUGAUGUGAAAGCCCGGGGCUCAACCCCGGGACUGCAUUGGAAACUGUUUAGCUAGAGUGUCGGAGAGGUAAGUGGAAUUCCUAGUGUAGCGGUGAAAUGCGUAGAUAUUAGGAGGAACAUCAGUGGCGAAGGCGACUUACUGGACGAUAACUGACGCUGAGGCUCGAAAGCGUGGGGAGCAAACAGGAUUAGAUACCCUGGUAGUCCACGCUGUAAACGAUGAAUACUAGGUGUCGGGUGGCAAAGCCAUUCGGUGCCGCAGCUAACGCAAUAAGUAUUCCACCUGGGGAGUACGUUCGCAAGAAUGAAACUCAAAGGAAUUGACGG
rnacentral:rRNA from 1 species